ACUCAUUUAAAUAAUGCCACUUAUAUUACAGAAUCAUGAUUUUCCUGGUGCAGUAAUACAUACAAUUACUUUAUAUUUCGGCCCAUUCCGUUGAUUUUCAAAAUUAUUGAUUAAUCUAACUGGCAGGUUUCACACAGCUCCUAACAAAGGGCUAUUCAGGCAAUUGAGUCAGUAAAUGGUACUCCCUUGUUUUAAUUGUGGUUAUCUAUACUUAUUGUUGUGUAGCUGGGAAGAUUUUUUGGACAAGAUAUCAUGGAAAAGGGAUGCUUUUGUUUAGUCUUUUUCGACAGAUACAUGACCGAGGCAGCUUUGAAGCCUUUCUGGAAAAUCCUCCUUCCUUCUGUAGAAUGUUUAAUCUUCCUGUGGAGUGUCGAACUAUGAGACUUACUCUGCAGAAUUCCAUUCUUGUGCCAUACAGACGAGUAAGAACUACUCAGGUAAAUGAGGAACUGAUUCGGGCCGCUGACGUUAAUGAGAAUUAUGCUUUUCUGAGCUCUGGAACAAGCUUUAAGGCAAGAUGUAUGGAUAGAUAGAUAGAGAGAGAGAGACAGACAGACAGACAGACAGAUAGAUAGAUAGGUGACAAAUAAAUAGAUAAAGCCCCUCUGUCCUUUCUUAUUU
rnacentral:lncRNA from 1 species